rnacentral:misc_RNA from 1 species
GAUGAAGAACGUAGCGAAAUGCGAUAAGUAAUGUGAAUUGCAGAAUUCAGUGAAUCAUCGAAUCUUUGAACGCACAUUGCGCCCGGCAGCAAUCUGCCGGGCAUGCCUGUCCGAGCGUCAUUUCUUCCCUCGAGCGCGGCUAGCCCUACGGGGCCUGCCGUCGCCCGGUGUUGGGGCUCUACGGGUGGGGCUCGUCCCCCCGCAGUCCCCGAAAUGUAGUGGCGGUCCAGCCGCGGCGCCCCCUGCGUAGUAGAUCCUACAUCUCGCAUCGGGUCCCGGCGAAGGCCAGCCGUCGAACCUUUUAUUUCAUGGUUUGACCUCGGAUCAGGUAGGGUUACCCGCUGAACUUAAGCAUAUCAAUAAGCGGAGGA